UUGUAAAGAUAUGUUUGGCUGUAGGGCUUAUUCCUUAUAUUUUUUAUGUAAGGGCAUAUUGAAGAA
rnacentral:ncRNA from 2 species